CAGCUGCAUGACUGGCCUCAUCAUUAUUAUUGGAUGGCAGCGAUACGGAAGUCAAGUUUGAGUGUUUAUGAGCGGUCAUUCCUCUCUCUUCGCCCACCACACACGCUGCCUGAUGUCGGGCAGCAGCAGGGUCGGUUUCUGCCUCAGCGACAAGAAGCGCCGGAGGAUCAACCUGCAGGCUUUCGCAGACUUCUGUGCGGGCCAUGGAGUGGAAGUGGUGGAG